GUAGGCAGCCUGCACCAGGAAGAGAGCUAUUAACAGAGAGAACUUUUAUUAUAUCAGAAAGACUUCCUUCACUGGCCUGCCAAACAUUUGUUUACCAAACAUUUCCUCUUCCCAUCUCCCUGUGAAUGGUUUUCCUUUCCUUUGAAGCCCCAGAGCCCUACCCCCUUCUCAGCUUUGGAAUGUUCAGAAACCUCAAGUACCUGACUGCUGCUGACUCCUCAUUUUCUCUGUGGGGCUUCUGAAUAUAUCUCCCCAUCAUAUCAUCAGACCGCAUGGCAGUUGUCCAUUUCCUGAUCUGCUAGACUGAGAAUUUGGGGAGAGCAGAGACUGGGACUCUCUUGCUGGCCAUUGCACUCCCAGCUCCUGGCACAACGCCUGGCAUAAACUGGUUAAACGCUCAUGGUUGGAGCCUUUACGGGGGUUGGACCUUAACGGCCGAGGAGUGUGUGCCUGAGGAGAGGUAAGGGAGGCGCAGUGUGCUUUUUUGGUGGGAUGAGGGAGGGAGCCGCACCUGAGGCCCUGGCCCUUGGAUCUUGUCCCCCAGCUUCUAGGUACUUGCCCUUGCCCUGGCCUUUUAGUGACAUUCCUAAUCUGUCCGAUGGAAACUGUCCCUUGUUGACCUUUACUCUUCAAAUGCAGUCCUGGCCAGGUUAUAUGGGGUAUGAUAGAUUUUGUGUGUCCUUUCAAAACACUGUGUUCUGGAUUAGGAGGCCUCUGGAUAAUUGGUUUGGUGACAAACUGGUCUUGUAUGAUUAAUUGCCAGCUUGUGUCUUUAGGGAAA